rnacentral:rRNA from 1 species
GAUGAACGCUGGCGGCGUGCCUAAUACAUGCAAGUCGAGCGAACAGACGAGGAGCUUGCUCCUCUGACGUUAGCGGCGGACGGGUGAGUAACACGUGGAUAACCUACCUAUAAGACUGGGAUAACUUCGGGAAACCGGAGCUAAUACCGGAUAAUAUAUUGAACCGCAUGGUUCAAUAGUGAAAGCCGGUUUUGCUGUCACUUAUAGAUGGAUCCGCGCCGCAUUAGCUAGUUGGUAAGGUAACGGCUUACCAAGGCGACGAUGCGUAGCCGACCUGAGAGGGUGAUCGGCCACACUGGAACUGAGACACGGUCCAGACUCCUACGGGAGGCAGCAGUAGGGAAUCUUCCGCAAUGGGCGAAAGCCUGACGGAGCAACGCCGCGUGAGUGAUGAAGGUCUUCGGAUCGUAAAACUCUGUUAUUAGGGAAGAACAAAUGUGUAAGUAACUAUGCACGUCUUGACGGUACCUAAUCAGAAAGCCACGGCUAACUACGUG